UCAAAUAUCACCUCCUAAGGGCACAGGAGGAGCAAUUCCCAAAUGUCGGAAGUCAAGCAGAGUCUCACACUGGGGAUAUCUGGCAAUCAGCUUACACAUUCAUUGGUUUGCAUAAGGGGUGGAGACAGGAUUGCACAGUGGCAGCAACUAUGCAAACAACUCAUUUCACUCUAGCUCCCCCAGAAUCUGGUCCCACAUCCUCUGCAGCUGCAGAAGAAUUCAAACAGGC